GAAAUGGACAUCCCGAGUGGUUGUUGAGUCGCCUUCUUUUCUUCUGUGCUGGCUUUUACUCCUUGCAUGUCCGUGAAUUUUGUCAAGUCAGCAACCUUUUAUCGUCAUGCUUGCAAGCAGGUGUAUUUCAAGCAGCCAUUGCUUCCAGUCAAGCCAUCGCAGUCAUGAUCAUUAAGCUGUUCACAAGCUAAAGUCAAUGUGCAUGAUCCACUCAUAUAUUUGUUUCCUGGAAUCUAGCAUCCACUUCAAUUCUGUGUUUUGGCCAUCCAAGUUUGGCUCUG
rnacentral:misc_RNA from 1 species